GUGCUGUUACUGUUGGCCCAAGAACACAUUUUGAGAAGACUGGCCUAGAGGAACCAAUAAUGUGGGUUUCUUAUGGGCAGGAUGGCACUGGAGAAGAGGGGAAACUAACACUAAAUUAGCAUGAAGAGCAUACGCCUGUGAUCUCAGCUAUUCGGGAUGCAGAGGCAGGAGGAUCACAUGAGCUCAGAAGCUCAAGCCCAGCCUGGGCAACGUAGAAAGACACAGACUAAAAAAGAAAAAAAGGGAAGAAAAAAAAAGACGGAAAAAAAUUAGCAUGAACAAUUCAAGGGAGACAAGAGAACUGAGCCACCUUCCUAGCCAAGAAAAACCCCAGCUUGCAAUUUACUGAAUAGAAGUGUGCCACUUGACAGAGUAGUUUUAAUGACACUGAACCUUUUGUGAGUCUUGCACUUCUCUUGGCUGAAAUCUUCAAACUGGCUCAAAGAAGCUCCAGUCUCUUCAUUCUGUAAGUGUUGAUACCAUUUGCAUAACUACCUGUCCUUAUCCCCUACCAGGUGCCUCCUUUCCAACCUUGAACGUUUCUUCUUGAUUCAUUAUAAUUAAAGAGCUAAUGUAGCCAUUCAAGUUCACAUUGUCAAUGACCAUGUAAUCAUCUUCCCUAGUGGCCAGAAUUCCUUUCUUUUUAUGAGGUUACAAUUAAAUUCCCUCCAGCCAUAAGGUCAAAAGAAUCCGGAACAGUUAGCCUUCCCAGUGACUAAUUUCACACCUGUGACUCUGACACAUAUAAAAUAAGACAUCUGAAAUGGAAGGUGUCAAUUUAAGAAAUAAUAUACAUUUGAC
rnacentral:lncRNA from 10 species